rnacentral:rRNA from 1 species
UACGAAGGGAGCUAGCGUUGUUCGGAAUCACUGGGCGUAAAGCGCACGUAGGCGGAUUGUUUAGUCAGGGGUGAAAUCCCGGGGCUCAACCUCGGAACUGCCUCUGAUACUGGCAAUCUCGAGUCCGAUAGAGGUGGGUGGAAUUCCUAGUGUAGAGGUGAAAUUCGUAGAUAUUAGGAAGAACACCGGUGGCGAAGGCGGCCCACUGGAUCGGUACUGACGCUGGAGGUGCGAAAGCGUGGGGAGCAAACAGG